rnacentral:rRNA from 1 species
UACGAAGGGGGCUAGCGUUGUUCGGAAUUACUGGGCGUAAAGCGCACGUAGGCGGACAUUUAAGUCAGGGGUGAAAUCCCAGAGCUCAACUCUGGAACUGCCUUUGAUACUGGGUGUCUUGAGUAUGGAAGAGGUGAGUGGAAUUCCGAGUGUAGAGGUGAAAUUCGUAGAUAUUCGGAGGAACACCAGUGGCGAAGGCGGCUCACUGGUCCAUUACUGACGCUGAGGUGCGAAAGGCGUGGGGAGCAAACAGG